GGAUGCAUGUUUGCUAAUUGAAAUUAUUCGCAAAGAUCUAGUAGAAUUAAAACUGGAGGUGCUGCGAAACGAUCCUUUUUCGACGCUAUACUCGAUUAAAACUAUCGACGCUUUGCACCUGAUGCCGGAACUGCCCACCCCGAGAGCAGAUGAGCGCUGGGGAAUGUUUUCAGCCACCUGGAGGAGGAAGUUCAGCGCGGAAGAAAUGUUACCAGACUUCGCCGAUCUGGUAUCUGGACUUUUUUGAUGAUCUCAUAGAGAUUGGGUGUGCAGAUGGGCGUUUAAAGUUCUGGGAGGGAACGACUGGUAACUUUUAGGAUAUAUAUGAAGCUGAAAACAACCACAACAAUGGGGUAACUAACAUAAACCUCGCCGGUGACAAAGUGAUAGUCGCACGGUUGAGUGAACGAAUCGAUUUUCUGAGACUGGAAACGUACACGUAAGGUUUUCAGAUCGAUUGGGGAUUUACGUCUGCAUAUGGGCGAAGUAAGUUCUAUGUUUCAAGCAAUUUUUUAAGCUCACCUAGGGCGCAGACAGAUUUUACUUGUUCUUUUAAAAUACUGUAUAUUCUAAGUCAUUUAAUUUUCAGUCUGUAAUGAGUAUGUCAUCAAGUGCCUUAAUUCUUUUUCUUUUUAGCCCACGUACGCAGCGGUUCGGCAGGAAGCAUUAGUUUAUUUCAGCAACCCGCCGGCUCAAAUCCGUCCACAGCGUUGCCAGCUCAACAUCACGCAUCCGAGGAGGAACUUCGAUGUAUCCUGGAGUUUCACCAGCAGGGUCACCGGUGACAUGUUUGGAAGUGGCGGGCGGUACAGUCAUUACUGGCAGCCAGGGCCACACUGUUAACGUGUUCCGGCUUGAUAGCCACCUAUUGCAGUUCACCCUAAACGGCCAUUGCGGUCCUAUCACAUGUAUUUUCAUAGACCAGUGGCAGGCCGAGAUGGGCGCAUCUGGUUGCCAGGAUGGUGUGCUAUGUGUGUGGGACUUGAUACGGGGUGCCUGUAUGUACAAAAUUGAAGCCCAUGACGACAUGACGUCGCACUUGCCUGUUCCCCGAGUUACGCAAUAUCGCUCGGACUGAACGAACGAAUACGGUUUUGGGAUAGAUUUCAGGGUCAGCCGCUCAACACCAUGACCGUCAGUCAUGCAUAUUCAUCGCUUGUGAUGCUGACGCUUCUGAACGAAGCCAUUGCUAGCACGAGUUUUUGAUUUGGAAGGAUAGUUGCUGAGGACCAUUCUCACAAUAAGUUUAUAAUAUCCAUUACAUGAUCAAAUGCGCUGAUGGGUUAGGCUUUGGAUUCGGCUAUAUUCCAUCGUCAUUGAAGCUAGAUCAUAGAAUCAUGUUAAUUUGACAGACUGCA